rnacentral:rRNA from 1 species
AACGAACGCUGGCGGCAGGCUUAACACAUGCAAGUCGAGCGCAUCCUUCGGGGUGAGCGGCGGACGGGUGAGUAACGCGUGGGAACGUGCCCUCUUCUACGGAAUCGCCUCGGGAAACUGAGAGUAAUGCCGUAUACGCCCGCAAGGGGAAAGAUUUAUCGGAGGGGGAUCGGCCCGCGUUGGCUUAGGUAGUUGGUGGGGUAACGGCCUACCAAGCCGACGAUCGAUAGCUGGUUAGAGAGGAUGAUCAGCCACACUGGGACUGAGACACGGCCCAGACUCCUACGGGAGGCAGCAGUGGGGAAUCUUGGACAAUGGGGGCAACCCUGAUCCAGCCAUGCCGCGUGAGCGAUGAAGGCCUUAGGGUUGUAAAGAUCUUUCAGCUGGGAAGAUAAUGACGGUACCAGCAGAAGAAGCCCCGGCUAACUCCGUG